ACUGUAGUUUCAAACUGAAAUUAUUCCAAUAUAUUUUAUAUCUGUAUAACUAUUUACGGUUAAAAGGGGAUUUCUUAUUCCUGUGAAAUAAGUAAUCUUUAAAGCACUAGGAACAUUAGCAGGUCAGCACUUUCAGAGUUUUCCACUUGUGAUCAGUACAGAUCUGGUUAUCUAGUAUGUGAAGUGAAUUUGGUGCUUUUAACCCUAUAGCAGAAAACUUUUGUUGUCAUUGAUAUGUUAGUUUCUUGUGAGCCUUAAAUUAUUAAAUAUUGUAGAUAUAAUUCUUUAUAAAUAAUUGUAUUAAUUACCUUACUGUUUCAGAAUUUCUAAGUAGUUCAGUCCUGUGCUUACUGUCCCCACUCAAAAAAAUGUAUGUGCAGCUUUUUUUUUUUUUUUGCAGUUUUAUAGUUUUAUACCUUUGUUACAUUUUUGAGACUGAAAACAAAAUAUUGUCUGCUGUUACUGAUUUUAAUCCAAGUGCACAACAGAUCUAAAACAUUAGGGAGUGGAUAGAUAUAACAAGAAAGUAGAAUAUGAGUGCAAUAUCUGCAAAACUAUUUUAAUCGUACACUCCAGAUUACUUUGGCAUGUGUAUCAGUCACCUUUAUGUAUCCGUACCAUUUGUGCACACAGUUCACCGUUUUUAAUUAUUACAGACUGGAAAUGGACAGCACUUAGAGAGUCUAACGUGGCAUGCUGUGCUACUUAAACAACCAUUGCGUGGCUUAUAUCUUGGACUCAGACGGAAAGCAUCACCUUUCAUCAAAACACAUCCUUGUUUUCUUUUAUUUCCAAACUAAACCUUUUCGGUGCUGUGGAUUUUACAGUUAAGAUGUUGAAAGACGAAUGACACGUUAUCUUCAUCGUGAUAACACAGCACUCUGCAGCUUACUAGUGAGGACUGACACAAAGUUGCUUCUUUAACUCAGAGCUGUGCUAUCAUUUUUCUUGCAAAGGAUGUCUCUGUUUUCCCCUAAAACUUCUGUUUUGUUGCUGAAGGAUGUUUCAUGCCUUUACCGCAUACCGUGGCACAGCAAGACUAGCAGAAAGAGAAGUCUCGAUUGUCAACGCUCAAGAGUGACCUGGAGCUCAUGCAGUAGCGCGAUUCUCCAGAUGGCUUUCAACGGCAUCGUCUUCCGUAACACACCAGUGAGCCACGAGACUGAGACAGAAAUUCCAGUGUGGGGAGGGUGUGAGUCAUGAGAUGAGGUCUGAUUGCUUUCCUCCUGCAGAUACUGACCAUUAGGAAGACACUGCUGCGGAGACUGAAACCAAACCCAUUUAUUCCUUGUUCUCAAGUCAUCUUGGGUUAAAAGUUGCUGAACAUUUUUCUCCUGGAUAAAUAACUGCGAUGUCCCCAUCAAGCAUAUGUUCUCAGUGAGUUGGAUUUCUUCAUUCAAACUGUUGAAACGCUGUUCUGCUGGGAGGUUUCUCUCAUAGAGGAAUUGUUCAGCACCACAAGAGGAGUAUGCAGGGGUCCCAUAAAAGUUUAAAUGUUUUGAACUCACUCCCAGGCACAAGAAGACUAUUUGAGAUUUUGUUUGGAAAUAAAUGAGUUCUUGUCAUAGAUUGGGCAUCUUCUACCAUGGUUCUUACCUAUCAAAAUUUCUCAUCAUUCUGGAAGCAGAUUCAAGUAUUUGUUCUUUUUCUUUUAUUUGCAUUCAUCUAUGUUUAUUUAUUUUAUAUUCUUGAGAUGUGUUGCAUCUCUGGAGUUUGUAUUUCUACUUUUAGCAUAAAAAUUCUGUACAUGUAAGUCUAGAAUGCACCUGAAGAUUAGUCUAAUUUUUCAUGUGACUUUAACUUGAACAUUUUUCUGUUUAUGUUUAUAUUGCUAUUUCAAAAAUGUGCAUUACCUGUAUUCUUUAUGCCUUUUUCCCGUCUCUAAGUCAAUAAAAUUAUGUCCCCAUUCUGCAGAACCAUAUCACACGUGCAUAACAGUGAUAACAGUUUUUGAAUAAUAAUGACUAAUAAAUGUAAAUGGGUUAAUCUA